CCGGCUAACUACGUGCCAGCAGCCGCGGUAAUACGUAGGGUGCGAGCGUUAAUCGGAAUUACUGGGCGUAAAGCGUGCGCAGGCGGUUGUGUAAGACAGGUGUGAAAUCCCCGGGCUUAACCUGGGAACUGCGCUUGUGACUGCACGGCUAGAGUACGGCAGAGGGGGGUGGAAUUCCACGUGUAGCAGUGAAAUGCGUAGAGAUGUGGAGGAACACCGAUGGCGAAGGCAGCCCCCUGGGCCGAUACUGACGCUCAUGCACGAAAGCGUGGGGAGCAAACAGGAUUAGAUACCCUGGUAGUCACGCCCUAAACGAUGUCGACUAGUCGUUCGUAGAGG
rnacentral:rRNA from 1 species